GAUUCCCUAGUAACGGCGAGUGAACCGGGAAGAGCUCAAAUUUGAAAUCUGGCGUCCUCAGGGCGUCCGAGUUGUAAUCUAUAGAGGCGUUUUCCGUGCCGGACCGUGUCCAAGUUCCUUGGAACAGGAUAUCAAAGAGGGUGACAAUCCCGUACUUGACACGACGACCGGUGCUCUGUGAUACGUCUUCUACGAGUCGAGUUGUUUGGGAAUGCAGCUCAAAAUGGGUGGUGAGUUCCAUCUAAAGCUAAAUAUUGGCGAGAGACCGAUAGCGAACAAGUACCGUGAGGGAAAGAUGAAAAGCACUUUGGAAAGAGAGUUAAACAGUACGUGAAAUUGUUGAAAGGGAAACGAUUGAAGUCAGUCGUGACCGAGAGGCUCAGCCGGUUCUGCCGGUGUAUUCCCCUCGGUCGGGUCAACAUCAGUUUUGUCCGGUGGAUAAGGGCGGCGGGAAGGUGGCACCCUCGGGUGUGUUAUAGCCCGCCGUCGCAUACAUCGGGCGAGACUGAGGAACGCAGCUCGCCUUCAUGGCCGGGGUUCGCCCACGUCCGAGCUUAGGAUGUUGACAUAAUGGCUUUAA
rnacentral:rRNA from 1 species